rnacentral:tRNA from 1 species
GGGCGAGUGGCGGAAUGGCAUACGCGGCAGACUUAAAAUCUGCUGGCCGCAAGGUCGUGAGGGUUCAAGUCCCUCCUCGCCCA